AAAUGAUGUCAUUCGAAACAAAGAGAGAGGAAGAUGGGAACACCCCGUGUAUGCAUGCAUCUAAUCAUGUUUGAUCCCAACACUCGUUCCAAGUCUUCCUUUUCCACAAUGUCCUUCACAUCCUUCAUUUCAUCAUUUCAUUUGUCACUUUCAUUUAUUCCCAACUCUUACUGCUUCCAAAUAACAACCAAAAAGCCCGGAUGACAUUAUGAGAAACUGAGGAAAAAUAAUGAGUGAUUUGUUUAAAAAAAAAAAGAACUUUGGAUUACAAAAAAAAAAAACCUGUAUGUGGAAUCAGGACACAACCAAAUUCAGGAGAUGAAAGCUUGAGGGUCAGAUGGACAGAUUGUGUGUUUGGGGAACAGAGGUUUGGGAGGAUUGUCAACAAAUGAAGAAAGGCGUCGUGAAAUGGAGGACAGUUUGGGGAAGGAAGAAAAAAGCAAAGAGAGGAGGAAGGGAGCUGAACGCUUCUCAGUUGCUGAGCUUCUGAACUGCCCCUUUUCUAAAGCUCCCCAAUUGCAAAACCUGUCCGGAGGCAACCCCCAGGGUCACCACAGGAUUAGAGAUGGUGAAAGAGAGAAAAUGAGAGAUGAAAGAAGUGCUUCGCUAAACCAACUGGAAGAAAACAUUGUAACACUCAUCUCUCCAUUGCUAACCCCCAACAUAGGUGCAAUAAACUGACAAUAUCACGUCCUGGGAGGAUGUGGAAUACAUUCUUUAUCUACAGGGAUCGCUGGCCUUGGAAAACGGGUAGGCUUCAGCAUACAAACUGUAGUAUGUCCUGGCUCAACCCUUCCUGAUGGAAAUGGAUGCAAUUUUAAAGUGAUGAGAACUAUUUUUGUGGGGCGUUCCAUGAUGAUAAAUGCACCUGAAAGUGGACAAAAACCCUCAAUACAGUCUCAGAUACACGCAAUGUGUGGAAAAACACCCAUCAUGCCCUUCAACGCUAUGCAAUUCAACCACACGUUGACAGUCAAGUUCAUGAAACGCUUCAAUCAAAUGGUUUAUCACCCAAACUUUUUCCGCUUCUUUACCUUUUGGAGAUCUUGCACGUGCUUUAAAUGAAAAUAGACAGUGGCGUCAUUGACCCGCCAUAUUCCUAUAUCGUACCGUUUCCCCAUUCAUCCAAUUGGAAAUCUUGUUCAGAGUGUCCUUCUCAGGGCUCACAGAAAGGCGACUUUGUCAACUAUGAAGAAAAGAGCGUUAGCCUCUCUCUUUUCUCUCUCUCUUAGUUUAGUUCUCUGCAUCUCAGCAUUUCUGUUCCACUGUAGAUGAACUGCAUGGCAUGAAUGAAAAAAAAAAAAAAAAAACAGAGAGAAAAAUGGUAGAGAUCAUGCUGAGAGGAACCAGAGGAAACCGUAGACAGGACCACUCUGUUUGCACAGUACAAUAUGGGUGACUCUGGAUCAGUGGAUGGGGUCACCUUUUUCACCUUCAUGUGGGGAACAGAAAAUACAACAUAAGUGCAUGAUACCUGAUGAAGGACAGAGGGGUUUUUAAGUGGACUGGGUGAACUUUAAACAAAAGCUGAAAAAAAGAGAAAAUUAAAAAUGCAUUUUUCUCACUUUGUUUACCAGCAUGACUAAACUGCAUGACUUCUGCAAGCCCUGAACCCCAAAUUAGAGGGCUUGAAAUCACUAAACACCGA
ensembl:lncRNA